rnacentral:rRNA from 1 species
GGAGAGGGACCCUGAGAGACGRCUCCCACAUCCAAGGAAGGCAGCAGGCGCGUAAAUUACUCAAUGUUAAAUGGACGAAGUAGUGACGAGAAAUAACAAUGUGGAGCGCUUUGCGUUUUACAAUUGUAAUGAGAGCAGAUUAAAGGGGUCAUCGAGGAUCCAUUGGAGGGCAAGUCUGGUGCCAGCAGCCGCGGUAAUUCCAGCUCCAAUAGCGUAUAUUAAAGUUGUUGCAGUUAAAAAGCUCGUAGUUGAAGAAGGGUUGUCUUUAGUUUAGUUUUCUURUGAGAACCAAAYGUGGCAACAUUCGUCUGUUUUCUUUAGAGGGCAGACCGUUUACUGUAAAAAAAUUAGAGUGUUCAAAGCGUGAUGUAUGUUGUUUGAAUAUAGUAGUAUGGAAUAAUGAGAUAGGACUUUGUUGUUAUUUUGUUGGUUUGCAUGGCAAGGUAAUGAUUAAUAGGGACAGUUGGGGGUAUUCGUAUUACGAUGUCAGAGGUGAAAUUCUUGGAUUUUCGAAAGACGAACAACUGCGAAAGCAUUUACCAAGGAUGUUUCAUAAUCAAGAACGAKAGUSASGG